rnacentral:rRNA from 1 species
GAAUUCGCCCUUAGAGUGUGAUCCUGGCUCAGGAUGAAUGCUGGCGGCGUGCUUAACACAUGCAAGUCGAGCGAGAGAGUUUCUUCGGAAACAAUCUAGCGGCGGACGGGUGAGUAACACGUGGGCAACCUGCCUUGUAGUGGGGGACAGCCCUCCGAAAGGAGGAUUAAUACCGCAUAUUGUCACAUUGAGGCAUCUCAAAGUGAUGAAAGGAGUAAUCCGCUACAAGAUGGGCCCGCGGCGCAUUAGCUAGUUGGUGAGGUAACGGCUCACCAAGGCGACGAUGCGUAGCCGACCUGAGAGGGUGAUCGGCCACAUUGGGACUGAGACACGGCCCAGAC